UACGGGGGGGACAAGCGUUGUUCGGAUUCACUGGGCGUAAAGGGCGCGUAGGCGGGCUUUCAAGUCAGAUGUGAAAUCUGCCGGCUUAACCGGUAGUCUGCAUCUGAUACUGAAGGUCUUGAGUACGGAAGAGGAGAGCGGAAUUCCAGGUGUAGCGGUGAAAUGCGUAGAUAUCUGGAAGAACACCGGUAGCGAAGGCGGCUCUCUGGUCCGAUACUGACGCUCAAGCGCGAAGGCUAGGGGAGCAAACAGG
rnacentral:rRNA from 1 species